rnacentral:rRNA from 1 species
AGGGUUUGAUCCUGGCUUGAUUGAACGCUGGCGGGAUGCUUUACACAUGCAAGUCGAAUGGCAGCAUGACUUCGGUCUGGUGGCGAGUGGCGAACGGGUGAGUAAUGUAUCGGAACGCCUAGUAGCGGGGGAUAACUACGCGAAAAGCGUAGCUAAUACCGCAUACGCCCUUCGGGGGAAAGCGGGGACCUUCGCCUCGCACUAUUAGAGCGGCUGAUAUCGGAUUAGCUAGUUGGUGGGGUAACGGCUCAGCCUAAGGCGACGAUCCGUAGCUGGUUUGAGAGGAAUGACCAGCCACACUGGGACUGAGACACGGCCUGACUCCCGCGUGGGAGGCAGCAGUGGGGGAAUUUUGGACAAUGGGGGGAAACCCUGAUCCAGCCAUCCCGCGUGUGUGAUGAAGGCCUUCGGGUUGUAAAGCACUUUGGCAGGAGAAGAAACGGCACGGGAUAAUACCCCGUGCAACUGACGGUACUCGCAGAAUAAGCACCGGCUAACUACGUGCCAGCAGCUGCGGUAAUACGUAGGGUGCAAGCGUUAAUCGGAAUUACUGGGCGUAAAGCGUGCGCAGGCGGUUCGAAAAAGAAAGAUGUGAAAUCCCAGAGCUUAACUUUGGAACUGCAUUUAACUCACUGUUUGGAGUGUGUCAGAGGGAGGUGGAAUUCCGCGUGUAUGCAGUGAAAUGCGUGGAUAUGCGGAGGAACACCGAUGGCGAAGGCAGCCUCUGGGAUAACACUGACGCUCAUGCACGAAAGCCGUGGGGAGCAAACAGGAUUAGAUACUCCUGGUAGUCCACGCCCUAAACGAUGUCAACUAGCUGCUGGGGCCUUCGGGCCUUGCAGCGCAGCUAACGCGUGUUGACCGCCUGGGGAGUACGGUCGCAAGAUUAAAACUCAAAGGAAUUGACGGGGAUCCGCACAAGCGGUGGAUGAUGUGGAUUAAUUCGAUGCAACGCGAAAACCUUACCUACCCUUGACAUGUCUGGAAUCCCGAAGAGAUUUGGGGGAGUGCUCGUAAGAGAACGGAACACAGGUGCGUAAGGGCUGCCGUCAGCUCGUGUCGUGAGAUGUUGGGUUAAGUCCCGCAACGACAUGCAACCCUUGUCAUUAGUUGUUACGAAAGGGCACUCUAAUGAGACUGCCGGUGACAAACCGGAGGAAGGUGGGGAUGACGUCAAGUCCUCAUGGCCCUUAUGGGUAGGGCUUCACACGUCAUACAAUGGUCGGGACAGAGGGUCAGCAACCUGAGGGGGAGCCAAUCCCAGAAACCCGAUCGUAGUCCGGAUCGCAGUCUGCAACUCGACUGCGUGAAGUCGGAAUCGCUAGUAAUCGCGGAUCAGCAUGUCGCGGUGAAUACGUUCCCGGUCUUGUACACACCGCCCGUCACACCAUGGGAGUGGGUUUUACCAGAAGUAGUUAGCCUAACCGUAAGGAGGGCGAUUACCACGGUAGGAUUCAUGACUGGGGUGAAGUCGUAACAAGGUA